UACGUAGGUGGCAAGCGUUGUCCGGAUUUACUGGGCGUAAAGAGCGCGCAGGCGGUCGGAUAAGUCGAAUGUGAAAGCCCCCGGCUCAACUGGGGAGGGUCAUUCGAUACUGUUCGACUCGAAGGCAGGAGAGGGAAGUGGAAUUCCCGGUGUAGUGGUGAAAUGCGUAGAGAUCGGGAGGAACACCAGUGGCGAAGGCGGCUCGCUGGGCCGGUCCUGACGCUGAGACGCGAAGGCGUGGGGAGCGAACGGG
rnacentral:rRNA from 1 species